UGUAUUAUUCAUAAAAGAAGAAGAAAACUCUGUUAGAAAACUUCAAAUCCAACCAGUAAAAUGGAGUGUAGUAUGAAGGAAAAUGUGGAAAAUACAAAUCAAAAGAUAAGGAAUGUAGAUCACUGAAGAGGGAAGCUAAAGAUUUCUGUUCAGUGAGGUGGAUCACUGUCAUGUUUACGGUGGUAUUUGAGUUGUCUGUAAAGCUGAAUGGGGAUAACCAUUGUUGUGGGACAUUGUUUGCCUGUGAAACAUCUGGGGGUGUCCAGCUGCUUUGGCGAUGGAGAACUCUGAAGCUGCAGUUCGUAGACAGCGUUAGGAGAGCAAUGCACUGGAUUAGGUACCAUGUUGGAACAAGCGCAAAAUGAAUGUUCAAACACACAGCUUUUCUUACCAUGAAUAUGCAUGAAGUUUAGGCUUUGGAGGUGAAGAGCUCAGCUAAUUCAACAAAGUCAGCUUGGAAAUUCCAUUGUGAGUUGUUACUCUUGCAAUUUGCUAUUUGUUUUCAGCUGAAAAAAUCAAACAGUGCAAUGUCAUCUGUUCAGAAGGCCAAAAAUGUACUUUGCUUAAUGCAAGAACAUGCAGUAAACUGUUGUGAGUGGUCCUCCACAAAGACUUACUCAAUAAGAAAACAACCAACUAUUUGAAAGGAGUGGACAAACAGAAUUUUAUGAUCUGCUCAGACAAGACACAAAAAACCCACCAGGCAACAUUUUCCCAAGAGUUUUCUCAUGGAAAUUAUUUGUUUCAUUUCAGUUCUUAACAAGCAUGAGCAGCUGAUCAUCACCUCCUCUACUGCAAAGGAGUGAUCUCCAAGAUUUUUCCUACCAACAUUACUAGCAAAUGAAUUAAUUCAGUUUGGACAGUUCUCCCUUAGUUAUUUAACUGACCCUCAGAACCAGAAGGACGCUUUGAGUAAAUGGAGAGAAAAACAUUAAAAAUUAUAUACCUUGGGUUGACUUUGAUCUUUAAAAAUGAGGUGGAAUUUAUUUUAGGUAUAUAAUAAUAUUGCUAACCUCUGUUCACUAGGCAAUCCUUCCUUUUCCCUCAGCUCUCAGUUUGACAUAUCUCCAGCAUGAAAUGGACUAAGAUUGCCAUGAAACUGGAAGCUGUGAGUGUGAAAAUUGGGGAAUGCGUAGACAAAUUCUUCUUUCCUUUUUAA